rnacentral:rRNA from 1 species
UACAGAGGGUGCAAACGUUUGUUCGGAUUUACUGGGCGUAAAGCGCGUGUAGGCUGCUUCGCAAGUCGGAUGUGAAAGCCCCUGGGCUCAACCCAGGAAGUGCAUUCGAAACUGCAGAGCUGGAGUCCUGGAGAGGAAGGCGGAAUUCUCGGUGUAGAGGUGAAAUUCGUAGAUAUCGAGAGGAACACCGGUGGCGAAGGCGGCCUUCUGGACAGUGACUGACGCUGGAGAACGCGAAAGCGUGGGGAGCAAACAGG